rnacentral:rRNA from 1 species
AUUCCAGCUCCAAUAGCGUAUAUUAAAGUUGUUGCAGUUAAAAAGCUCGUAGUUGGAUUUGUGGUGUACUUCGGCGGCCCGUCACUAUGUGAUGGAGCUUGCUGAAGUCGCCAUCCUUGGGUGGAUCCUGUGUGGCAUUAAGUUGUCGUGCAGGGGAUGCCCAUCGUUUACUGUGAAAAAAUUAGAGUGUUCAAAGCAGGCUUAUGCCGUUGAAUAUAUUAGCAUGGAAUAAUAGGAUAGGACCUUGGUACUAUUUUGUUGGUUUGCGCACCAAGGUAAUGAUUAAUAGGGACAGUUGGGGGUAUUCGUAUUUCAUUGUCAGAGGUGAAAUUCUUGGAUUUUUGAAAGACGAACUACUGCGAAAGCAUUUACCAAGGAUGUUUUCAUCG